rnacentral:rRNA from 1 species
CACGUAGGGGACGAGCGUUGUCCGGAAUCAUUGGGCGUAAAGCGCGCGUAGGCGGCCCGGUAAGUCCGUUGUAAAAGUCGAAGGCUCAACCUUCGAAAGCCGAUGGAUACUGCCGGGCUAGAGUACGGAAGAGGCGAGUAGAAUUCCUGGUGUAGCGGUGGAAUGCGCAGAUAUCAGGAGGAAUACCCAUAGCGAAGGCAGCUCGCUGGGACGUUACUGACGCUGGAGGCGCGAAAGCGUGGGGAGCGAACAGG